rnacentral:rRNA from 1 species
UACGGGGGGAGCAAGCGUUGUUCGGAUUUACUGGGCUUAAAGAGUUCGUAGGCGGCGCAGAAAGUAGGGUGUGAAAGCCCUCGGCUCAACCGAGGAAUUGCGCUCUAAACUACUGUGCUUGAGGGACCUAGAGGUGAGCGGAACUGAUGGUGGAGCGGUGAAAUGCGUUGAUAUCAUCAGGAACACCCGUGGCGAAGGCGGCUCUCUGGGACGGUACUGACGCUGAGACGCGAAAGCGUGGGGAGCGAACAGG